UACGUAGGGUGCAAGCGUUGUCCGGAAUUAUUGGGCGUAAAGAGCUCGUAGGCGGUUUGUCGCGUCUGCUGUGAAAACUCAGGGCUUAACUCUGAGUUUGCAGUGGGUACGGGCAGACUAGAGUGCGGUAGGGGAGACUGGAAUUCCUGGUGUAGCGGUGAAAUGCGCAGAUAUCAGGAGGAACACCGGUGGCGAAGGCGGGUCUCUGGGCCGUAACUGACGCUGAGGAGCGAAAGCAUGGGGAGCGAACAGG
rnacentral:rRNA from 1 species